AUGUACAACAUGAUGGAGACGGAACUGAAGCCGCCGGGCCCGCAGCAAACUUCGGGGGGCGGCGGCGGCGGAGGUGGCGGCGGCGGUGGCGGUGGCGGCGGCGGCGGCAAUGCCACGGCGACGGCGGCGGGAGGCAACCAGAAGAACAGCCCGGAUCGCGUCAAGAGGCCCAUGAACGCUUUCAUGGUGUGGUCCCGGGGACAGCGGCGUAAGAUGGCCCAGGAGAACCCCAAGAUGCACAACUCGGAGAUCAGCAAGCGCCUGGGCGCCGAGUGGAAACUUUUAUCGGAGACGGAGAAGCGGCCUUUCAUCGACGAGGCCAAGCGACUGCGCGCCCUGCACAUGAAGGAGCAUCCGGAUUAUAAAUACCGGCCCCGGAGGAAAACCAAGACGCUCAUGAAGAAGGAUAAGUACACGCUGCCCGGGGGUUUGCUCGCCCCCGGCGGGAACAGCAUGGCUAGCGGGGUCGGGGUGGGCACCGGCCUGGGCGCGGGGGUCAACCAGCGCAUGGACAGCUACGCGCACAUGAACGGCUGGAGCAACGGCAGCUACGGCAUGAUGCAGGAGCAGCUGGGUUACCCGCAGCACCCGGGCCUCAACGCGCACAGCGCGGCGCAGAUGCAGCCCAUGCACCGCUACGACGUGGGCGCGCUGCCCUACAACUCCAUGACCAGCUCGCAGACCUACAUGAACGGCUCGCCCACCUACAGCAUGUCCUACUCGCAGCAGGGCACCCCCGGUAUGGCGCUGGGUUCCAUGGGCUCGGUGGUCAAGUCCGAGGCCAGCUCCAGCCCUCCCGUGGUUACCUCUUCCUCUCACUCCAGGGCACCCUGCCAGGCCGGGGACCUCCGGGACAUGAUCAGCAUGUACCUCCCCGGCGCCGAGGUGCCGGAGCCCGCCGCGCCCAGCAGACUGCACAUGUCCCAACACUACCAGAGCGGCCCGGUGCCCGGCACGGCCAUCAACGGCACACUGCCCCUGUCGCACAUCGCGGGUCCAAGCCGGUAGUUCCAAAUCGGAUAAUGUGUGCAGCUGGUAACAAGGAAAAGAGAAGCCAGGCACCAGCCCUAUUACAGAAGAAAACAACUCAGAAUGCCACCAUGCAAGUUUUGUUUUCCCUCAGAGAACGGACUUCUCUUUGGAGUUCCAGUUGGGGAACUCAGUAUGUGAAGAUGGUCAUCAAGCCAUUGAAACUAGCAAGAGAGAUGAUUAAGAACAUUUCUGUCUUGGCCUCCACCCCAUUUCUGCCUUUGACAUAUUCCCCUUUUCCCAACUGCUUGGGAGCAAAGCUGCUGAUUGUUCUGCAAAGGAGGAACCGUUCCUUUCAGCUGACUCCUCUGUAAAACUUGGAUUCGAAGUAGAACAUAUGCUUUUGGGGGUGUAGAUUGUGAGGGUGACUGGGGAAGAGCUGAUGUAUGUGUUGAUUCAUCCUUCCACUUCCAGACCUCUGUGACGCACCUUCUCAACGACAUUCAGUCUCUCAUCUCCACAAAGCCUUUUAUAGUAUCCAGACCUCAUAUGAAUAACUUGGAAGUUCAUAUAUAUAUAUUAGGGCUGGUAUCUGCCUCUAGCUCCCUCUAAUAUUUUUUUUUUUUUUUU